rnacentral:rRNA from 2 species
CGGGAGGCAGCAGUAGGGAAUCUUCCACAAUGGACGAAAGUCUGAUGGAGCAACGCCGCGUGAGUGAUGAAGGUUUUCGGAUCGUAAAACUCUGUUGUUAAAGAAGAACAAGUGUUAGAGUAACUGUUAACACUUUGACGGUAUUUAACCAGAAAGCCACGGCUAACUACGUGCCAGCAGCCGCGGUAAUACGUAGGUGGCAAGCGUUGUCCGGAUUUAUUGGGCGUAAAGCGAGCGCAGGCGGUUUUGUAAGUCUGCUGUGAAAGCCCUCAGCUCAACUGAGGAAGUGCAGUGGAAACUACAAAACUUGAGUACAGAAGAGGAAAGUGGAACUCCAUGUGUAGCGGUGAAAUGCGUAGAUAUAUGGAAGAANCACCAGUNGCGAAAGCGGCUUUCUGGUCUGUUACUGACCGCUGAAAGCUCGAAAGCAUGGGUAGCGAACAGGAUUUAGAUACCCUGGUAGUCCAUGCCGUAAACGAUGAAUACUAGGUGUUGGAGGGUUUUCCGCCCUUCAGUGCCGCAGCUAACGCAUUAAGUAUUCCGCCUGGGGAGUACGACCGCAAGGUUGAAACUCAAAGGAAUUGACGGGGGCCCGCACAAGUGGUGGAGCAUGUGGUUUAAUUCGAUGCUACGCGAAGAACCUUACCAGCUCUUGACAUCUUCUGCCAACCCAAGAGAUUGGGCGUUCCCUUCGGGGACAGAAUGACAGGUGGUGCAUGGUUGUCGUCAGCUCGUGUCGUGAGAUGUUGGGUUAAGUCCCGCAACGAGCGCAACCCUUAUUAUUAGUUGCCAGCAUUUAGUUGGGCACUCUAGUGAGACUGCCGGUGAUAAACCGGAGGAAGGUGGGGACGACGUCAAAUCAUCAUGCCCCUUAUGAGCUGGGCUACACACGUGCUACAAUGGAUGGUACAACGAGUCGCGAAACCGCGAGGUCAAGCUAAUCUCUUAAAGCCAUUCUCAGUUCGGAUUGCAGGCUGCAACUCGCCUGCAUGAAGUUGGAAUCACUAGUAAUCGUGGAUCAGCAUGCCACGGUGAAUACGUUCCCGGGCCUUGUACA